UAUCUUAAUAUUGAUAUAAAAGCAGCUGAUUUUCUGUGGAUAAUAAUUGAGUUUAUUCUACAUCAAGGAGCCAGUCUCUGGAUCCACCAUCAUGGCUUCGUUGACUAUUGGAGGUUUCUUUGGGAUAGGGGCUGGUGGAUAUAACCGUGGUUUUUACAAUCGUGGUGGGAAUUACAGGCCCAACUUCGUACAGCCAGGGAUUGUUGUUGGAGGUUUCUAUCCUAGAUAUGGUUAUGGUCCUUGGGGAGGCUAUAAUGGAGGCUAUAAUAGAGGCUAUGGCUACAACAACUAUGGCCGCCACCACCACCACCACAGACCUCGCUGGUGGUAACCAAGGAAAAGGAAUGAUGCAAAGUAUGAAAAUAGGCAAUGAAAGCCACACGCAUUGGGAACGCAUCAUAUUUCCUCAGCCACUAACCUACAGUUCAAAAUGAUUUCUUAAACUGGAUGUCUAUUCUACUGCAAUUACUGGACAAAAAAUUAUGUUUUUCAGUCUACAACAUUUAAUAAAAAUAAUGCAAAAACAA